UUUCAAAAGUAAUGCCGGUGUUGUGUCCAACUCUGUUUGGGGAUCUGUUUCCCCCUAGCCCCGCCCCCGGACAUACUUUCUUCCAGAAGUCUACAAUAUAAAGCUAACACUAAGUACAUUUAUAAUCGGAACUUAGUUGAUCUUACCUUAAGUGUCUUCAAUUAUCUGGAUGAGUUGUGACUUUUGUCUUGCUGUAACACGGUCCUGACAAGAGCAGAACAUCACAUGGACUACAAGCAGGAGACUCGAGCAUGGAGGGGAACCGCCGUCUGAUGUGAACUGCGCACGCGCGAGGAAUUUUUGUUCAGCUAGACAUCCAAAAACUCCUAUCCAGAUGUCUGAAUAUUGAACUGCAUAUCUACAUACAAGAGGGGUCAUAGACAGACAUUGUGUGCUGAUUUCACUUAUACCAGUGUCCCAGGCUCAAGGUGAUUUAUAUACAGUUUAUCCGUUAUAUUUUCUGCAUAUUUAAUUUGCUUUGAUGCUGAAAAGUUUCUGCACAAUUUAUUAAUUUGUUCCUUGUUUAUUAAUGCAGUUUUUAUAACUCUAAUCAAAAGAUGGCUGCAACAUCAGAUCUGAAUAAAUAGUUUUACACACAAAUAGUUUUACACUGCUUAAAUGUCUUAACAUAUUAAAUAUAAAACAGCACAAGUUUAAUGACAGCAGCACAAGAGAGCAACUGACAUCACUAGUGCUAAAUAAAAUGCUCCAUGAUGCCCCUGAUUUCUUAAUAUUAAGCAGGUUACACAUAUCAGUAUCAACAAGUAACAAAAACAUGUACUCACACUCACUCUAAACAUGAUAUUAGUAGUGUAGACUUACAUACAGGGAGGAGGAGACACUCAGGGGACUUACAGCUGGAAGAUAAAUAAUAAUGAACCCUAUAUAGAUGAAAGGGAGAGAGACUACACAGACAGCACAAGUCAGGAGUUCAGAAUCUGGUCUGUUGAAGACUCUGGAGAGACUCUCAGAGCUCAGAGAUCAGUUAUGCUGUUGAUCUGAUUUUGAGCUGUCAGUAACUGAGUCCUCAAACCCAGACUUAACUGUUUUGGCUGAAUGUAUGGGAACAUAAACAUCUUAAAAAAUGGCAUAAUUGUUUGAAACAACAUUUGGAUCAUAGCAUGCACCUGAUCACUUAGAAUUUCCAAAUACUUGGUGGCAGUAACAUGACCAUGUAGACUAAUGAUGUCACCAGCAGAAUAACAAGAUUAUGGCUGCCCAAAUCUUCACAGAUCCACCUCCCAUGUUUGACAGUUGGAACCAGACAGUCCAAGUUGUUCACUUCCUUGGUGGUUCUUCGUACAUAAACUCGACCUGCUGUUAGGAGUAAUAUAAAUGAUGAUUCAUCAGAUCAUAUCACUCAUUUCCUGUCUUCAGCUGUCCAGGUUUUAUGAUCAUGACACCAUCUUUUUUCGCAUUUUUGCAUUGGUGUCUGUGAUUAAGGCUUUGUGAAUUUCUCUGCAGAAUGUUUUUGUGGAAACAGGGUCUUUAAGGUGGAUAUUAAGUUCUACUCUCACUUUUGUUGCUGUAGUUCUGUGUUGUUUGGACGCAAUGUGUUCAACGGUCACUAUCAGUAAUUUUUAAAUUCCAGCCACUAUUCUUCUUCUCUGAUAAAGUCCUGCCAUGCUUUGUAUUACAGUCAUAAUC